UGCUGAGGAGUCCCACAAUAGAACGAAACGGCCGUCCA
rnacentral:hammerhead_ribozyme from 1 species